GUGUCAGCCGCCGCGGUAAAACGUAGGUGGCGAGCGUUAUCCGGAUUCAUUGGGCGUAAAGAGCUUGUAGGUGGUGCGAUAAGUUGGACGUGAAAACUUCGGGCUUAACUUGGAGAGGCCGUUCAAUACUGUUGUGCUAGAGGGCGUCAGAGGGAAGUGGAAUUCCUGGUGUAGCAGUGAAAUGCGUAGAUAUCAGGAGGAACACCCGUGGCGAAGGCGGCUUCCUGGGACGUACCUGACACUGAGAAGCGAAAGCUAGGGGAGCAAACGGGAUUAGAAACCCCGGUAGUCCUAGCUGUAAACGAUGGAUGCUAGGUGUGAGUGGAUCUAACCCCGCUCGUGCCGAAGCUAACGCGUUAAGCAUCCCGCCUGGGAACUACGAGCGCAAGCUUAAAACUCAAAGGAAUUGGCGG
rnacentral:rRNA from 1 species